rnacentral:rRNA from 1 species
AGAGUUUGAUCAUAGGCUCAGGAUGAACGCUAGCUGGUGAUGCCUAACGCAUGCAAGUCGAACGGGAUCCUUUGGAUUCGUCUGAAGGUGAGAGUGGCGGACGGGUGAGUAUCGCGUUGGUGACCUACCCCAGAGAGGGGGACAACCAUUGGAAACGAUGGCUAAUACCCCGGAUGUCAUUGUGUUUAGAAAGCAAUGACUGAAGCUCCGGCGCUCUGGGAGUGGGCCUGCGUCCCAUCAGCUAGUUAGGUAGUGGUAAUGGCCUACCAAGGCAAAGACGGGUAGGGGGCGUGAGAGCGUGACCCCCCACACUGGUACUGAAACACGGACCAGAUACCUACGGGUAGCAGCAGCGAGGAAUAUUGCCCAAUGGACGAAAGUCUGAGGCAGCAACACCGCGUGGAGGACGAAGGCCUUCGGGUUGUAAACUCCUUUUCUAGGGGGAAGAGAAAGGACGGUACCCCAGGAAUAAGGCCCGGCUAACUACGUGCCAAGCAGCACGCGGUAAAACGUAGGGGUCACGCGUUAUCCGGAUAUUACUGGGCGUAAAAGCGCAUGUAGGC